rnacentral:rRNA from 1 species
UACGUAGGGUGCAAGCGUUAAUCGGAAUUACUGGGCGUAAAGCGUGCGCAGGCGGUUUUGUAAGUCUGUCGUGAAAGCCCCGGGCUCAACCUGGGAAUUGCGAUGGAGACUGCAAGGCUUGAAUCUGGCAGAGGGGGUAGAAUUCCACGUGUAGCAGUGAAAUGCGUAGAUAUGUGGAGGAACACCGAUGGCGAACGGCAGCCCCUGGGCUAAGAUUGACGCUCAUGCACGAAAGCGUGGGAGCAAACAGG